UACGAAGGGUGCUAGCGUUGUUCGGAAUCACUGGGCGUAAAGGGCGCGUAGGCGGCUUUUCAAGUCAGGGGUGAAAUCCUGGAGCUUAACUCCAGAAUUGCCUUUGAAACUGGGAGCUUGAGUGUUGGAGGGGAUAGCGGAAUUCCUAAUGUAGAGGUGAAAGUUCGUAGAUAUUAGGAGGAACGACCGGUGGCGAAGGCGGCUAUCCGUGGGACAAGCAACUGACGCUGAGGCGCGAAACGAUGGGGACAAACAGGGAUUAAGAAACCCCG
rnacentral:rRNA from 1 species